rnacentral:rRNA from 1 species
CGUAGGUAACCUGCCCCGGAGCGGGGGAUAACAUUUGGAAACAGAUGCUAAUACCGCAUAACAAUAAAAGCCGCAUGGCUUUUAUUUGAAAGAUGGCUUUGGCUAUCACUCUGGGAUGGACCUGCGGUGCAUUAGCUAGUUGGUAAGGUAACGGCUUACCAAGGCGAUGAUGCAUAGCCGAGUUGAGAGACUGAUCGGCCACAAUGGAACUGAGACACGGUCCAUACUCCUACGGGAGGCAGCAG